ensembl:misc_RNA Metazoa_SRP Metazoan signal recognition particle RNA
GCCGGGCGCGGUGGCGCGCGCCUGUAAUCCAGCUGCGCGGAGGCUGAGGGCGGCGGAUGGCGUGAGCUCAGGAGUUCUGGGCCGCGGCGGGCUAUGCCGAUCGGGUGUCCGCGCUAAGUCCGGCGUCAAUAUGGGGGCCCGCGGGGAGCCGGGGGCCGCCAGGUUGCCUCAGGAGGGGUGAACCGGCCCAGGCCGGAGACGGAGCAGGUCAAAACUCCCGCGCCGACCAGUAGCGGGACCGCGCCCGUGAAUAGCCGCCACGGCGCAGCCUGGGCAAGACAGCCAGACCCGACCUCAA